UUUUCUCUUUUUUUUUUUUAUUGAUAUUAAAGACAAACGAGGUGAAAAAUUGUAUAAAAAACCAUCCAAAAAUCCACUUCUCAACAAAACAACCGUGUUUAACACAUCAAAACACAAUUUUAGCACCCACCAACCCAGGCCAACUCAAAGCAUCAAAUUCUCACUCAAUAAAUAAAUAAAUAAUACAUGAAAAGAAAAUUAAUCCACAAGAUAAAACCCCUCUAGUCCUUGAAGAAAACAGCCAAAGCAACUCUACAACACAAGACAGAGAAAACAGCUUAUUCUCUGUCAGCAAACAAAGAAUCACAAAAGAACACAGUCAAAUUCACGACAGGAAACUAAAAAAUGACAGGACGGAAAAUGGGUAUCCCAGGCUAGAAAGCAAAACGGCUUAUAAAAAUCCAAAUUACGAAAAAUACAUAAACUUGAAAAUUUGAAACUCAGAAUCUCAAAAAUGGGUCGGGGAAAAUCUUACCAAAAGUUUCGAAAAUCGAGAUGUGAGUAUCUAAAAGGUGGUGACUGGAUAAGAACCUAAUGUUUUGGAGGCUAU
rnacentral:misc_RNA from 1 species